rnacentral:rRNA from 1 species
GGGUGGUAAAUUUCAUCUAAAGCUAAAUAUUGGCCGGAGACCGAUAGCGCACAAGUAGAGUGAUCGAAAGGUUAAAAGCACCUUGAAAAGGGAGUUAAACAGCACGUGAAAUUGUUGAAAGGGAAGCGCUUGCGGUCAGACUCGGACGCAGGGUUCAGCGGGUGCGUGUCACCCGUGCAUUCCCUGCCGCCCGGGCCAGCAUCAGUUCUGACGGCCGGUCAAAGGCCCCCGGAAUGUGUCGUCUCUCGGGACGUCUUAUAGCCGAGGGUGCAAUGCGGCCCGUCGGGACUGAGGAACGCGCUUCGGCUCGGAUGCUGGCGUAAUGGCCGUAAGCGGCCCGUCUGAAAAACACGGAC